UCCCCAUCAUUGGAAACCUCCACCAAAUAGGCCCCCUCCCUCACCGUUCCCUCCACGACCUCUCCAAGAAGCACGGCCCCCUCAUGCUCCUCCACCUCGGUCGCAUACCGACCCUCAUCGUUUCCUCUGCUGGUGCUGCUCACGAAAUUAUGAAAACCCACGACCACAUCUUCUCAAACCGGCCUUCUCUCAAGAUUCCCACCCAGCUCCUCUAUGGCUGCCGCGACAUCGCCUUCGCACCACACAGCGAGUACUGGAGACAGGCCAGAAAGCUGAGUGUGCUCCACCUAUUAAGUCCGAAGAUGGUGCGGACUUAUCAGGCGAUACGGGAAGAUGAGGUUGGGCUGAUGGUGGAGGGGAUUUUAGGAUUGUGCGAUUCCGGCCCGGUGAGCUUGAGCGAGGUGUUGAGCUCAUUUGCGAAGGACGUGAUCAGUAGGAUUGCCUUCGGGAAGUGCUCGAGGGAGGAGGGCUGGAAUGAGAUGGUGGAUGUGUUGAUUGAGGAGAGCAAUGAGUUGCUUGGGAUGUUUCAUGUGGGGGACUAUGUACCAUGGUUGGGCUGGGUGAGCAAGCUAUCGGGUUUGGAUACGAAGGUCGAGAGGACUUUCAAGAGAAUUGACGGUAUACUUGAUACAAUUGUAGAAAGCUGCAUGGACAGGUCAAAAGAUGAUAGGCACCGGCCAUUUGUGGAGAUCUUGCUCUCUCAAGCCAAGGAUCCGAACAGGGAGUUUCAGUUCCCCAGAGAGAACAUCAAAGCUAUCUUGGAGGACUUGUUCGGGGCAGGGACGGACUCAACCAUGAUAGUCUUAGAAUGGUGCAUGGCAGAGCUCAUUCACAACCCAUUGGCGAUGAAGAAACUCCAAAGCGAGGUAAGAUGGGUAAUGGGAACAAAGGCCAUUGUCGAAGAAGCAGACUUAAUGGAAAUGAAAUAUCUGAAAGCAGUGAUAAAAGAGACCCUGAGGCUCCACCCACCAGGCCCACUGUUAGUUCCCCGAGAAUCGAUGAGCAAUGCACGCGUUCAAGGUUACGAUAUACCUUGUCACACAAGAGUUAUUGUUAAUGCUUGGGCCAUAAGUCGGGACCCUAAAUUUUGGAGGGAACCAGAAGAGUUCCAACCAGAGAGGUUCAUGGAGAGCCAUGUAGAUUUCAGAGGCCAUCAAUUCCACUUUAUCCCUUUCGGAGGCGGACGGAGGAUUUGCCCUGGUAUAGGGAUGGCGGUGACAAUUAUCGAACUCGCACUUGCAAACCUUGUAUAUAUAUUUGAUUGGGAACUUCCUGCUGGUAUCAGAGUUGAGGACAUGGAUAUGUUGGAAGCAUCUGGAAUUACAAGUCGCAAGAAAACUGGUAUUUGCUUGGUUGCCAAACCUCGUUCAGACAAUAUUCAAUAAUCCGGCCAAUACAUUAUUUGAAAUGAAGACAUGCAACUCAUACAUGAUUUGAAACGAAGGCUACACAAUCUUUUUGAAUAGG
rnacentral:misc_RNA from 1 species